AUGGUACAAGAUUCUGGUUGUUGAAAAUAACCAGAGAGGUAGUUGCUUUUUCAUUCAUUUGGUCAUUUUAAGACAAAUACAGUUUUUUUUUUUCUUCAUUAAUUCAAUUAGCAUAUCAUCUUGCCAGUCCUUAUUUUUGUUAUACCCAUGCUGACUGUUUUAUCAUUGUUUAGGUAAGAAUGUUAUGGAUUUUUGAGGGUGGGGCAUGUCAUUUUCUAGUUAUCGUGAAUACUUCAUGGGAGUAUUGUUUGGAUAUGAAAAAUGCAUCUUUCUCGGGGAAAAUCUUUUGAGAGGCCUAGUAACUCAGUCUAAUUACUUAAAGUAAGGAAGUAAGAGGCCUUGGCAGUGACUUUGAACAACUUUCUUGACUUCCUGCAAAGAGGACCCUUUGCAGCCCUUUUGGAGAAGUUAGUAAAACCGAAUCUGACAUCACUGCCUCGCAGCAAGUGGUUUGCUCUCAGGGCAGCAGGAGGAAAUCGCCCCUGUCUGAUAAGACACCAGUUCAAGAGUACGUAUUCACUUCUUUCCUUCUUGAUUCGGCCUUACAGAGAAACAUUGGUUCGGAGAUAACCAUUAUUUUGCCUUUCAGAAGGACGCAUGCUGUCUCUCAGGAGUUUGGCUGAUUUCCAGAUAUGACCAUGUAUCUGUGGCUUAAACUUCUGGCAUUCGGCUUUGCCUUCCUGGACAUCGCAGUGUUUGUUGCAGGAAACUCUACCCAACCUUCUACUCAAGGUAUUUACAUUUUACUUAUUUUACUUUUUGUUGCUAACUUUGUUUAUUUAAUGUUGAUAAACUUUUCUGUGAUAUUCUAGUGAAAUCGUUUUGUACAGACAAGCCUUGUAAUCAUGAGUGGCCCUUGACAUUCUCUUGUUCUUAAUAUUCCUACUUGUAAGAUAUAAAGUUGGAUAACUACCUGAGCAUAUUAUUAUUUGUAGACGAAUUACUGUGUAUAAAUUAUAGCUUUUCUUACACCUGCCAGUAAACCAUACGGCAAGUUUUCAAUCUCUUUUUACAUUUUAUCACUAUAAAGACAGCAAUUUAUUUUGGUCAGAUUGCAGAGCUUCAUAGUUAGGGAACUAUAUGAUAAAUUAGAAUUCUAAACAUAAUUUUAUAUAUAUAUAAUGUAUAAAUUCCUGCAACAGUAUUGACAAUAUUGAGAUAUUUUAAAUAAUCAUUUCCAAGUUGUAUUGUCACACCUUAACUGUUUUAACAAGUGUCCUAAUCCUGAGGUAAAUUAAAUUUAAGCAAUGAAGAUGCUGACAAUUAGUUCAUAUAUUUCACAUGUCAAAGGAGAGAGAAAAAUUGGGUUACAUCCAGUUAAAAAUAAAUUACACUGGUUAAAUGUUAUUGUUUUUGAA
rnacentral:lncRNA from 1 species